rnacentral:tRNA from 1 species
CAAUUUAAAUUUUAUAAAAUAAAGGGUUCAUUUACAUUGAAUAAAAAUUUGUGUAAUACAAAUUAAAUUGA